UGGGGAAUAUUGGACAAUGGGCGCAAGCCUGAUCCAGCCAUGCCGCGUGAGUGAUGAAGGCCCUAGGGUUGUAAAGCUCUUUCACCGGUGAAGAUAAUGACGGUAAUCGGAGAAGAAGCCCCGGCUAACUUCGUGCCAGCAGCCGCGGUAAUACGAAGGGGGCUAGCGUUGUUCGGAUUUACUGGGCGUAAAGCGCACGUAGGCGGACUUUUAAGUCAGGGGUGAAAUCCCGGGGCUCAACCCCGGAACUGCCUUUGAUCCUGGAAGUCUUGAGUAUGGUAGAGGUGAGUGGAAUUCCGAGUGUAGAGGUGAAAUUCGUAGAUAUUCGGAGGAACACCAGUGGCGAAGGCGGCUCACUGGACCAUUACUGACGCUGAGGUGCGAAAGCGUGGGGAGCAAACAGG
rnacentral:rRNA from 1 species